rnacentral:snoRNA from 1 species
AAGAGGCGUGAUGAUGCUUACCCAUCUAUUCUGCAAUUGAAUGAUGAAUAUAAAACAUGCACUACCAUCUGAUCUCUG